rnacentral:rRNA from 1 species
GACGAACGCUGGCGGCGUGCCUAAUACAUGCAAGUCGAACGCAGUUGCGAACGGGUGCGUAACGCGUCGGUAACUGCCUCAUAGCGGGGGAUAACUAUUGGAAACGAUUGCCAAUACCGCAUACUUUGAGAUGGACCUGCGUUGUAUGAGCUAGUUGGUGAGGUAAAGGCUCACCAAGGCGCCGAUACAUAGCCGACCUGAGAGGGUGAUCGGCCACACUGGGACUGAGACACGGCCCAGACUCCUACGGGAGGCAGCAGUAGGGAAUCUUCGGCAAUGGACGGAAGUCUGACCGAGCAACGCCGCGUGAGUUAAGAAGGUUUUCGGAUCGUAAAGCUCUGUUGGUAGAGAAGCGGUACCUAACCAGAAAGACACGGCUAACUACGUGCCACCACCCGCGGUAAAC